CACUAACGCUUAACACCAUCCACAGCAGCACAAAUCUAGUACCUGCAACAACAUGGGUUCGAAAACCCUGAGUAUGAAGUGUACUUUCGCAAGUCUUACCCGACUAAGGAAAAAGACUCUCAAGGAUAUGCUGGAUUUAGGAAUCAAGGAGAGGCUUUUAGCAAGAAUCAACUUAGACAUUUUGCAGAAAAGCUUUCUAAAAGUGAGUCCUUACUUUCAACAUUUUAUUGCUAGAUUAGGUAUUAAUUGACUUUGUUUGCAUCUAGUCUAGUCUAAAUUCAUCAUCCCAUUAAUCAAUACAACCAUAUUUUUACUCUUUGUGAUUUCAUCCAUGACUUACGAUGAGUGGUCGGAGGGUAGAGUCUCCAUGACCGAGGAGCAACGAUGAUUCGAACCGAUUAUACCCAGCUGGGGACUCCUAACCACACGACAUAUGUUGCACUCAACCCUUACAUAUGUCAACCGUUCCCACAGAUCCUCCAUAACAUGAACCGGUCCGCGCUACCCGGGAGCACAGUACUCCUCCGUCCAGCCUCUAGCCAAGAGGGUACACGCUACUCCCACCAUCUCCCACGCCCAGUGCGCGGUUGUCUUUUCACGUAUGGAAUAGCCGGGUUCAAGCUUACCCUAUCCCAUACCAGGGUAUGUGGAUAGUUGCAAAGUCUCCACGACAACAGGCCUACAUCGAAAUAAUCCUUAAUCAACCUGGACGGAACAUCACCUGUUCCUAGCCCAUGUCUCGAUUUAAGUACUUCCAUCCUUAGGACUUAUUUGUGUACCUAAGGAUGAAUAGAAUUUCAAGGGAAUCUUGUAGUAAGAUCCCACCAUGAAAAUAGUCUUGUAGGUAGAGUCAUCCUUCCUCAGGAUAACCCCUGAGCUAAGCAUUAUUGCAAAGGACAACCUCUAUCCGCAAGAUCUAAGCAUUUUGUAAAUCAUAUUUGAUACUUCACCAGAAGUAUCUAUAAAAGGAACGGAUUUCAAGGUAGCCAAUGCAUCAAUGGGUUUCCAAGUAACUCCUAUAAACCUAAUGCACCUUUCACUAGACUUAAUGUGUGUAAAAAUCAUUUAAAAACACAAGGAAGGGGUUGCAUGCACCGGGGCUUGCCUAGAAUAACACUAGGUUAGUGUUUGUUAGAUGACGUCCACUUGGCGAUCAGCUUUUGGUCUAACACUUGUCCGGGUCAUCCAUCCUUAAGUUCGUCCAUCAGCAUCGCCUUGCGAAGAAGCCCACGCUUAACAACAUCUUGUGGUUGACUCAGCUCGUCUUCUACAUCACGUGAUCAACUAGCACACCUAAUUGAAAUGCAUGAUGCACAUGAUUGAAUAUGAGCAGGAAUAGCACAAGAUAAAUAAUGCUACAUAGUAGAAAACUAAACACUUAAUGGCGAGGUGCAAAACAACACCCAUAAGUAAACGCUAGACAUCGAUAAAUGACUAAACACCAUAAUCUCACUUUUCUAGCUCAUCCGGAUCUAACUCAACAACACGAAACAAUAAUUUAUCACAAGAUCUAUGCUUUACUUAGCUAAAACAUAACACCGAAGGCUAAAAAUACUUAGACGCAACAACCACGGGUACCUAUAACUUAAGGUGACGAAUAGAAAUACUUUAACUAGAUUUUAGAACUACUAGUCUAGAUUAUCAGGCAUAGCACAUCAACUAACCCAAGCACCACACCACUUCAUCUAACAAGUACAACCUUAUCAAACAACAUAGAGUUUUGACAAGUCCACAAUUUUUAAAUCUAAAGGCCUAAAACACUAAUGGAUGAUGACCACUAAGUAGCUUUUGGAUUUUAACUAAAGCAGACCAACCGAUGCUGCUUACCUUCAACUGAUUUGGACCACGAUAAAUAGCUAUUCAAGAUUAUUAAUCUAAACGAUCGAUAUUCAUUUAUGGGAUUUAACCGAGCACCCAAUAUAGAAUACGACUACUAGAGCAAAGUAUCGACUUCUUUAAACAACUAUCAUUUGACACAAGAAAUUCUGAAAAUGACUACCACCAAAACAUUCAGAACAAGAAAUUGACGGUUACCAGAUGAUGCUAUUUGCUCCCCACUACUUGGAGUGGCAAACAACAUUCAUCUGACACAUAAUCGAUUUCUAAAUAUUGAAUAUAAUGAUUACCAGAGCAAUUCAUCGACUUCACUAUGCAAACAAGAUUUAUCAAAAAUCACUACUGACAACACUAAAUGACAGAACGAUUUAAAUGCUAAAUUUAUUCUUUGUGUUACUAAUUUACUUGUCCUAGUAACACAUGACAUAUUCACCUAUCAAAAUACUCCUUGUAAAACUUAAAUCUUAAUACUAAGCUUCAUACGACGCAACUAUUUCACAAACACGAACACAGUCAUAUCACAUAUAUAUCUACUAAUAUUCUUCGCAUAAAUCUUUAUCUAAAAUCUAGACUUCAACACCUAACGCGACCACUUCACAAUCACCUCACUGCAUGAAACGAUGUGUUUGAACAACACUAAUAUAGUCACAAGAUCAUCACGACUAACAUAUGUAGCCAAGCCAUUCAUCAAACCAGCUAACAAAAAUAAUAAAUCGGCUCACCAAAGCUAAAUCCGAUUUGAAACCAUGAAAUCGACGACGCUGUCUAGCUUGCGCAUAUCACCGAUACUUGACGAGAGUUGCACUGGUGCUUCUCUUUCGUCUUCCGGUGCGAACACAAGGUGCGACAAAGCUGCUGAAACGACGACGAUGCCGGGGAUGGCUAGAGAGGGAGCUCGCACGCUAGAGGACCAUGACAGCGAGGUAAGGCAAAACUCAACGGCAUGCUGAAGCUGCGCGACGAGGUGGAAGAGCUGUAAGACGACGACUAGGCGAAGUUGGAGGAGACGAAAAUAAAAACGCCAGCAUGCAGAGGAGGACCGGGAUGGGAUGGCCGUGCGCCAUGGCCUAGCGGCGGUGCUGAGCUCGGCAAGACACAAGGGCCGAGCGACGACAUCCGCGACCUCGCACAGGGAAGCCGGCGAGCUGUGGACUGGGAGCGGCGUCGCGGAACGAGCAUGAGGACGACGAUAUGAGCGCAGCGAGCAGGGAGAAAACUAGGAUGCAAACGACUGCGUGCGCGGGCCUUCACCGUUGAUGUCCGAGCUCAACCGCCCACGGUUUGGUGAAGAACAACGACGUUGCUGUGGAAGUCCAAGACGGCAAGGUGUGCGCUACACAGCUGGAGCGAGGCCGAGUAGUGGUGCAGGAAAUGGCAACGCAGCACGACAAGGUCGACCGGCGCGGUUCAUGACAGGGAGCACGCACGCGCACAGUGUGCCAUGUCCUAGAGAAAACUCAGACGUCGAGAGGGAGAUGGAAGGCAAAGAGCUAGAGGCAAGCACCAAAGAUUGGCCAGGGAGGAAACGGCUUGGGGAGG
rnacentral:lncRNA from 1 species